rnacentral:lncRNA from 1 species
GGGGCGGGGAGAUCCCAGCUACUAGAGGACGCCCGUUCCAAUGGCAACUCUGCCAAGGCGCCUAUGAGAGCCUCUUGGCUUUUACCUGGUCUGCGAGAAAUCAAACUUUGGGCACAAGUCAUGAAGCCGACAAGCCCGGGAGACACAGUGUCAGAAUUACAAGGAACACUACAAGGCCUGUUAGAGAAGAAAGGGUAGAAUCCCGAGAAUGUUUUCCCCACAGUGCUGAUAAGGAGAGACCACUAUCCCAUCUACUGCUACAGCUCUGGAGACAGAGCUCUCCCACCUGUCAUAUAGAACACAAGGACCAAUCUGCAGAGAAAGAGCAUCCAAACCUGAUCCAGUGGACACUGGGGAAAAACUCACCACAGCUGAGUGUGGAAAAACAAGGCCAACACACACAUCUCUGCACAGAUACAUCUCCCAUAAAGAAACUAAAGUGUUAAUUUACAGGGCACUGUUGCAGACCCACUUCAGCUGGAAGCUAGGAACAUGGACAAGGAGCCUCUCUACCACCAAGGGAGAGAGAGGAAUGUGCUCUUGUCCUGGCAUUGCAUCCACAGGAGGGGCAGGAAAUUCUUUGAAGUUCGUUUUCAUAGAAUUCUUCAUACCUGUUUCUAUGAGGAAUGAACUGGAUGUGUUUGAAGACAAGCUGAAGAGCUACGUUACCUCUGUGAACAAAGUGGGGAUGCUGGCUCCAUUAACCCUGCAGGUGAAAAAGCUGAUCAACCCCAGGUCAUAUUUUGUAAACAUGUUUAAGGCUAAAUUAAAAUUUGAACAUGCUCUAAGAAUUUUUUUUCAAUAGCCUGUUUAUUUUUAAUGCCUAUUGGAAAAAUUGAAAUGAAUAUUUAAUUUCAAAUUUGGACAAAAUAAAACACCAAACACUUUUUUCAUUAAGAUGCUAAAGAAAGUUUAUUUAUAUCUUUUGAACUUUGUCUUAAAUUCAUUUGUAUCUUAAAAUGGAAGCUUUCUUUGAAAACUACAUAUUCUAGCUCACUGACAUUGAAUGGAAAGCUAUUAACUAUUCCCCAAUGAGGAAGGAUCUUCUAAAAUGGGGCUAAAAUACAUGAAAUAAAUGGUUUCCAAUAGCUCCUGCAGCUUUGCCAAGUCCAUGUCAAAAAAUUACAUGUAUGGGUUUAUUUCCUGACUUUUAAUUCUAUUCCAUUAAUGUGUUUGUAUUGAUCUUGGAUCCUACAACUUUGCAGAAUUUGAUUAUUAGUGUUAACAGUUCUAUUGUUAUUAAUUAGGAUUUUAAUUUUAUGUAUAAAAUUAUAACAUCUAUAUAUAGAAAUAAGCUUUUUUCUUUUCCAAUUGGAGUGUUUCUGUUUUUGUGUUGCCCAAUUAUUCUGGCCAGAUUUCUAUUACAAUGUUGAUCAGAAGUGAGGAAUGCAGGUAUCCUUGCCUUGUUCCCGAUUUUAGGGGGAAAGCUUUUAAUCUUUCAUCACUGCAUAUAAUGGUAGUUUUGAGUUUUUUAUACGUGCCUUUUAUUAUGUUGAGGAAGUUUUAGUCUAUAUCUAGUUUACUAAGUGCUCUUAUCAUAAAAGAGUUUUGGAUUAUGCCAAAUUUUUUCUCUAUCAAUUGACAUAAUCAUGUUUUUUGUAAAAUUCAUUCUAUUGAGUUGGUAUAUUGCACUGAUUGAUUGCAAUUUUUAAAGAAUUUGAGAAAAAUUGUAGUUACAGCUUUUAAUGUUUAAAACAAUUUAUCAGUGGAGCCAUCUGGUUCCAGACUUUUCUUUGUUAGUAUGUUAGUAUGUUUUUGAUAACUUAUGCGGUCUUUUACUUAUUACAAAUGGUAUUAGAGUUAUUCAGAGAAAUAGAAGCAAUAGAAUAAAUAUCUACAUCUAUACUAUAUCUUUGUGUGUGUGUUCAUCUAUGUAUAUGUGUUAAUAUAUGAGACAGAGCCCUUUAGAGUUGUCUUGGUGGUGUCUGGGCAGGGGUCCUUCAUCAGCCAUCUCUGGGCUGGUUUGGAGAACCCUCUGUUCUUCCACUCACCUCAUUUCAAUGCUGGCCCUUUUUGGCAGCAGCAAGCUUCUGGCCUUCAAGAGAGUAAACAUGGUUACCCCACUAACACCUUUUUGCCAGUCUCCUGUGUGGAGCUCUGCAAAGACAGUAACUGGUAGACAGACCUGGAAGCCUCAGAGCUAUUCCUGGCCAUCACUGCUGCUCCUCAUACCCCACUCAACCUUCUGCUCCCCAGAUUAGGCAUAGACUUACGUCUACACAGAACUUCAGCCUUGGAAAGCACCAGACGACAGCUCCAGGGCUCAGAACAAUCUUUGCACCAGCACUUGCCUCCCUACUUUGCCAGCCAUGACCAGGUGUGUAAACAUGAUGAGCCACCAGGAUUCUAACCUCCCAACAAUCUCUUCCUGUUCAGGAUGAGCCAGCCCCACAUGACAUUCCCCUACACACCAUAUUUGACAUUAAAUAUUUAUCCUUUUGUAUUUGGCUUAUUUUACAUAGUAUAACAUCUUCAAUGUUCAUCCAUGUAGCAUUCUUUUUUUGAGAUGGAGUCUCUCUUUGUCACCCAGGCUGGAGCGCACAGCAAUGCAAUCCUGACUCGCUGCUGCCUCAACUUCCCCGGGCUCAGGUGAUUCUCCUACCUCAGAUGAUCCUCCCUGUGGAUGGGACUAGAGGGACACACCAUCAAGUCCAGUAAAUUUUUGUAUUUUUUGUAGAGCUGGGAUUUGCUAUGUUGCACAAGCUGGUCUCAAACUCCUAGACUCAAGAGAUUCUCUCAUCUUUGCCUCCCAAAGUUUGGGGAUUAUAAGCAUAAGCCACCACACUCAUGAGCAGUGCACUCAUUUUAAGGUUAAAUAAUAUUCCAUUGUACGUAUAUACCAUAUUUUCUGUAUCUGUUUAUUUCUUAGAAGAUAUCUGGGUUUGUUUUUACAUUUAGUACUAUAAAUGAUGCUUCUAUAAAAAUUGGUGUGAAAGUAUCAGUGCAUAAGUGAAUAAAAUUUUAAAACCUGAACACAUCUCUGCAUGCAGUUCUUAGAUUGAAUAACAGAGGCCAGACACGGUGGCUCACACCUGUAAUCCCAGAAUUUUGGGAGGCUGAGGUGGGCAGAUCGCUUGAGCUCAGGAGUUUGAGACCAGCCUGGGCAACAUGGAGGAAUUCCGUCUCUACUAUAAGUACAAAAAUUUGCUGGGCAUGGUGGUACAUGCUGAUAGUCCCAGCUAUUCGGGAGACGGAGGCACAAGAAUUGCUUAAGCCCUGGAGGCAGAGGUUGCAGCUUAAGUCCCUACUUUUAAUUAUUUUGGAGAUACACCUGUAAUGGAGUUGCUGGAACAUACGGUAAUUCUAUGUAGAACUUUCUGAUAAACUGCCAAACUAUUUUUCACAGUCAAUAAACCAUUUUAUAUUCUCACCAGCAAUACACCAGGGUUUCACUUCCUCCACAUCCUAGCUAAUACUUGUUCUUUUUCAUUUCUGUUGUUUUGUUUUUUAUAUAGUCACCCUAAUAUGCGUAAAGUGAUAUGUCAUUGUGGUUUUGCAUACUAAGAAGGCAACCUACUUUAUCAUGAUGGAUUAUCUUUUUGACGUGCUGCUGGAUUCAGUUUGCAAGUAUUUUGGUGAGAGGUUUUGCAUUAAUUUUCAUCAAGGACAUUGGCCUAAAGUUUUCUAUUUUCAUUGUGUCUCUGCCAGGGUUUGGUGUCAAGAUGAUGCUGGCCUCAUGGAAUGAGUUGGGGAGGAGACUCUCCUCAAUUUUUGGGGAUAGUUUCUGUAGGAAUUGUACCAGCUCUUCUUUAUACAUUUGGUAGAAUUUGGCUGCAAAUCCAUAAGGUCCGGGGCUUUUUUUGAUUGGCAAGCUACUUAUUACUGAUGCAAUUUCAGAGCGUGGUAUUGGUCUGUUCAUGGAAUCAAUGUCUUCCUGGCUCUGUCUUGGGAGGGCAUGUGUGUCCAGGAAUUUAUCUAUCUCUUCUAAGUUUCCUAGUUUGUGUGUAUAGAGGUGUUCACAGUAGUAGUACUGACCCUACAGAAAUAAAAACAACCAUCAGAAACCAAUAAAGUUUUAACAUCAAUUAUUUUCAUGUCUUGAAUCCAUUUUUAUUUAAUUUUUGUACAUGGAAUGUGAUAAAGAUUCAAUUUUACUUUUUUGUUGUUUUGAGACAGAGUUUCGCAUCACCCAAGCUGGAGUGCAAUGGUGUGAUCUCAGCUCGCUGCAACUUCCACCUCCCAGGUUCAAGCAAUUCUCCUGCUUCAGCCUCCCAAGUAGCUGGGAUUACAGGCACCUGCCACAACACCUGGCUAAUUUUUGUAUUUUUAGUAGAGAUGGGGUUUCACCAUGUUGGCCAGGCUGAUCUUGAACUCCUGACCUCAGGUGAUCCACCUGCCUUGGCCUCCCAAAGUGCUGGGAUUACAAGCGUGAGCCACCACACCCGGCCAACUUUACUGUUUUAAAUGUGGGCUUGUUUUCCGAGAAUCACUUGUUGAACAGAGUGUCUUUCUUUACAAAAUGGUUUAGGCACCCUUGUCAAAAGGCAACCAAUAAUUUAUGCAAGGUUUUUUCUUCUGAGUUAUCUAUUCUAUUUCUUUGGUCUCUAUCCUUGUUCUUAUACCAAUAUCAAACUGUUUUAAUUACAGUAGCUUUGUGUGUUCUGAAAUUUAAAAUUGUGAGCCUUUCACUUUGGUCUUUUCAAGAUUAUUUUGGCCAUUCAGAGUACCCUCAAAUUCCAUAUAAAUUUUAGAAUGGGCUAUUCCAUUUACGCAGAAAAAAGUUGGAAAAAAUAAAAAGUUGGGAUUACAUUUGUACACUACUUUGGGUAAUAUUGUCAUCUUAACAUUAUUAAGUCUUCCAGUCCAUGAACAUGGAAUUCCUUGACACUUAUUUAAGUCUAUUUCCGAAAUAUUCCCAUCCUGUAGUCUUCAUUGCACAGGUUUUUACUUCCUUUUUAAAUUUAUCGCUAAGUAUUAUAUUAUUUUAAUGUUGUUGCAAACAAUUGUUUUCUUAAUUUCCUUUCAAAUAGUUCCUUGUUGGUAUAUGGAAAUGCAGUUUAUAUUUCCGUGUAGUAAAAAUAAUUAUUUUGUCUUUCAAAUCUAGAUUAGCGAUUCACUCAGAAUAAAUAUGCUGUAUACAUUGGUAGUCAUUUAACUUUUUCCAAUAAGCUAACCAAUUUCAGCAUGUUCUAAAUAUGUAAAAAUGUUAAAU